rnacentral:rRNA from 1 species
UAAGGAAUAUUGGUCAAUGGACGCAAGUCUGAACCAGCCAUGCCGCGUGAAGGAUGAAGGUCCUCUGGAUUGUAAACUUCUUUUAUCUGGGACGAAAACGGGAUUUUUAUCUCAAUUGACGGUACCAGAGGAAUAAGCACCGGCUAACUCCGUGCCAGCAGCCGCGGUAAUACGGAGGGUGCGAGCGUUAUCCGGAUUUACUGGGUUUAAAGGGUGCGUAGGUGGGCUUAUAAGUCAGUGGUGAAAUCUCCG